rnacentral:rRNA from 1 species
CCUACGGGUGGCAGCAGUGAGGAAUAUUGGUCAAUGGACGAGAGUCUGAACCAGCCAAGUAGCGUGAAGGAUGACUGCCCUAUGGGUUGUAAACUUCUUUUAUAAAGGAAUAAAACGAGGCACGUGUGCCUUUUUGCAUGUACUUGAUGAAUAAGGAUCGGCUAACUCCGUGCCAGCAGCCGCGGUAAUACGGAGGAUCCGAGCGUUAUCCGGAUUUAUUGGGUUUAAAGGGAGCGUAGAUGGGUUGUUAAGUCAGUUGUGAAAUUUUGGGGCUCAACCGUAAAAUUGCAAUUGAUACUGGCAGUCUUGAGUACAGUUGAGGUAGGCGGAAUUCGUGGUGUAGCGGUGAAAUGCUUAGAUAUCACGAAGAACCCCGAUUGCGAAGGCAGCUUACUAAACUGUGACUGACAUUGAUGCUCGAAAGUGUGGGUAUCAAACAGGAUUAGAUACCCGGGUAGUC